GCUUGGGUGGCUCAGUUGGUUGAGCAUCUGACUUCGGCUCAGUUCAUGAUCUCAUGGUUCAUGAGUUCGAGCCCCACAUUAAGCU
rnacentral:tRNA from 1 species